rnacentral:rRNA from 1 species
GGUGGGGUAAUGGCCUACCAAGACUGUGAUCAAUAGCUGAUUUGAGAGGAUGAUCAGCCACAUUGGGACUGAGACACGGCCCAAACUCCUACGGGAGGCAGCAGUGGGGAAUCUUGCACAAUGGAGGAAACUCUGAUGCAGCGAUGCCGCGUGAGUGAAGAAGGCCCUUGGGUUGUAAAGCUCUUUCGUCGGGGAAGAAAAUGACUGUACCCGAAUAAGAAGGUCCGGCUAACUUCGUGCCAGCAGCCGCGGUAAUACGAAGGGACCUAGCGUAGUUCGGAAUUACUGGGCUUAAAGAGUUCGUAGGUGGUUGAAAAAGUUGGUGGUGAAAUCCCAGAGCUUAACUCUGGAACUGCCAUCAAAACUUUUCAGCUAGAGUAUGAUAGAGGAAAGCAGAAUUUCUAGUGUAGAGGUGAAAUUCGUAGAUAUUAGAAAGAAUACCAAUUGCGAAGGCAGCUUUCUGGAUCAUUACUGACACUGAGGAACGAAAGCAUGGGUAGCGAAGAGGAUUAGAUACCCUCGUAGUCCAUGCCGUAAACGAUGUGUGUUAGACGUUGGAAAUUUAUUUUCAGUGUCGCAGUGAAAGCGAUAAACACACCGCCUGGGGAGUACGACCGCAAGGUUAAAACUCAAAUGAAUUGACGGGGACCCGCACAAGUAGUGGAGCAUGUGGUUUAAUUCGAAGAUACGCGCAGAACCUUACCAACACUUGACAUGUUCGUCGCGACUUUAAGAGAUUAAAGUUUUCGGUUCGGCCGGACGAAACACAGGUGCUGCAUGGCUGUCGUCAGCUCGUGUCGUGAGAUGUUGGGUUAAGUCCCGCAACGAGCGCAACCCUCACUUUUAGUUGCCAUCAUUUAGUUGGGCACUCUGAAAGAACUGCCAGUGAUAAGCUGGAGGAAGGUGGGG